rnacentral:rRNA from 1 species
CCUCCUUUGUUCCUCCUUCUUUCCUCUUCCCCCCUUUUCUCCCGCCUGCUGGCGCCACCCCGCGUGAGUGAAGAAGGGUUUCGGCUCGUAAAGCUCUGUUGGUGGAGAAGAACGUGCGUGAGAGUAACUGUUCACGCAGUGACGGUAUCCAACCAGAAAGUCACGGCUAACUACGUGCCAGCAGCCGCGGUAAUACGUAGGUGGCAAGCGUUAUCCGGAUUUAUUGGGCGUAAAGCGAGCGCAGGCGGUUGCUUAGGUCUGAGGUGAAAGCCUUCGGCUUAACCGAAGAAGUGCAUCGGAAAUCGGGCGACUUGAGUGCAGAAGAGGACAGUGGAACUCCAUGUGUAGCGGUGGAAUGCGGAGAUAUAUGGAAGAACACCAGUGGCGAAGGCGGCUGUCUGGUCUGCAACUGACGCUGAGGCUCGAAAGCAUGGGUAGCGAACAGGAUUAGAUACCCCAGUAGUC